rnacentral:lncRNA from 1 species
UCAACAACUAUCCUAGACAUGUUAUCAGAUGGUUUUGUUUACGUCUUUUACUGAUCAUCACGUGAAACUGUUCCGAUAUAUAUCUAUUGAGGGCAAACGGGAUCCUUAACAACCACUUUGAAUGACAAUCAUAUUCAUUUUCUUCCAUUUCAUUUUCAUAUGGGGUAGGUAAACUAUGAACACAACUGUACUUCGCCACUAUGGCCCCUGCAUAUAAGGUAAACAAUGACCAC